CACGUAGGGGGCAAGCGUUGUCCGGAUUCAUUGGGCGUAAAGAGCUCGUAGGCGGUUCGAUAAGUCGGGUGUGAAACCUCCAGGCUCAACCUGGAGACGCCACCCGAUACUGCUAUAGCUAGAGUCCAGUAGGGGAGUGUGGAAUUCCCAGUGUAGCGGUGAAAUGCGCAGAUAUCAGGAGGAACACCAAUGGCGAAGGCAGCACUCUGGGACGUGACUGACGCUGAGACGCGAAAGCGUGGGGAGCGAACCGG
rnacentral:rRNA from 1 species